CUCCGGUUGAUCCCGCCGGACCUGACUGCUAUCGGAUUGGUACUAAGCCAUGCGAGUCGUUGUAGCAAUACAAGGCGGACGGCUCAGUAACACGUAGUCAACCUAACCUAUGGACGUGGAUAACCUCGGGAAACUGAGAAUAAACCGCGAUAGAUCAUUAUGCCUGGAAUGGCUUAUGGUUCAAACAAUUUAUUGCCGUAGGAUGGGACUGCGGCCUAUCAGCUUGUUGGUGAGGUAAUGGCCCACCAAGGCUAUAACAGGUACGGGCUCUGAGAGGAGAAGCCCGGAGAUGGGUACUGAGACACGGACCCAGGCCCUAUGGGGCGCAGCAGGCGAGAAACCUUAGCAAUGUGCGAAAGCACGACUAGGUUAAUCCGAGUGAUUUCUGUUGAAGAAAUCUUUUGUCAGUCGUAAAACCACAGACGAAUAAGGGGUGGGCAAGUCUGGUGUCAGCCGCCGCGGUAAUACCAGCACCUCGAGUGGUCAGGAGGUUUAUUGGGCCUAAAGCAUCCGUAGCCGGCUACGCAAGUCUCCGGUUAAAUCCAGCUGCUCAACAGAUGGGCUGCCGGAGAUACUACAUAGCUAGGGAGCGGGAGAGGUAGACGGUAUUCUGUGGGUAGGGGUAAAAUCCACUGAUCCAUAGAGGACCACCAGUGGCGAAGGCGGUCUACCAGAACGCGUUCGACGGUGAGGGAUGAAAGCUGGGGGAGCAAACCGGAUUAGAUACCCGGGUAGUCCCAGCUGUAAACGAUGCAAACUCGGUGAUGCAUUGGCUUAUGGCCAAUGCAGUGCCGCAGGGAAGCCGUUAAGUUUGCCGCCUGGGAAGUACGGACGCAAGUCUGAAACUUAAAGAAUUNGNCGGGGGAGCA
rnacentral:rRNA from 1 species